rnacentral:rRNA from 1 species
AGAGUUUGAUCCUGGCUCAGGACGAACGCUGGCGGCGUGCUUCACACAUGCAAGUCGAACGGAUCACUCCCAUGGUGUGGCGGACGGGUGAGGAAUACAUCGGGACCUGCCCAGACGUGGGGGAUAACGUAGGGAAACUUACGCUAAUACCGCAUACGUCCUACGGGAGAAAGCGGGGGAUCUUCGGACCUCGCGCGGUUGGAUGGACCGAUGUUCGAUUAGCUAGUUGGUGGGGUAAUGGCCUACCAAGGCGACGAUCGAUAGCUGGUCUGAGAGGAUGAUCAGCCACACUGGGACUGAGACACGGCCCAGACUCCUACGGGAGGCAGCUAGUGGGGAAUAUUGGACAAUGGGCGCAAGCCUGAUCCAGCAAUGCCGCGUGUGUGAAGAAGGCCUUCGGGUUGUAAAGCACUUUUAUCAGG